rnacentral:lncRNA from 1 species
AGACAAGAAAACAACCAGGGAAGGCACACAGCCCUGUGGGGAGGCGUUGGGGCGUGAGGUUGAGAGAGACAGAGUGGCCUGGCCUGGCCUGCCCUGUGAGCUGGGUGAGUUGGCACUGAUUCUGGAAGAUGGACGUGAAUGGGCGUGGUCACUUGUCGCUAGACUCUGGGAAACGCUGCUGCUGUUUGACAUCGCACAGUCAGAAGGGAUCGUCUCAGCCAGCCUGCAGCAUCUGUCACUUUGACCAUGAGACGCUGCCUCGAUUUCCAAUCCAGGUGCAAAGCUUCAGAUAGGAGUUUGGGAAGCACAGCAAUCCCCAUCUCUUAUUUUUUUCAACUUUCAUUCCAAGAAAAUAGGACCUUGAGUCCAAUUCCCAGAGCUGAGACUUGAGGUCCAACUCUGCCUUCACCUGCACCCGGCCCUGGAGGUCUGGGCCCCUUUAUUCCA